rnacentral:rRNA from 1 species
GACGAACGCUGGCGGCGCGCCUAACACAUGCAAGUCGAACGAGCGAGAGAGAGCUUGCUUUCUUGAGCGAGUGGCGAACGGGUGAGUAACGCGUGAGGAACCUGCCUCAAAGAGGGGGACAACAGUUGGAAACGACUGCUAAUACCGCAUAAGCCCACGACCCGGCAUCGGGUUGAGGGAAAAGGAGCAAUCCGCUUUGAGAUGGCCUCGCGUCCGAUUAGCUAGUUGGUGAGGUAACGGCCCACCAAGGCGACGAUCGGUAGCCGGACUGAGAGGUUGAACGGCCACAUUGGGACUGAGACACGGCCCAGACUCCUACGGGAGGCAGCAGUGGGGAAUAUUGCACAAUGGGGGAAACCCUGAUGCAGCGACGCCGCGUUGAGGAAGAAGGUCUUCGGAUUGUAAACUCCUGUUGUUGAGGAAGAUAAUGACGGUACUCAACAAGGAAGUGACGGCUAACUACGUG